rnacentral:rRNA from 1 species
AUUGAACGCUGGCGGCAUGCCUUACACAUGCAAGUCGAACGGCAGCGGGGGAGAAGCUUGCUUUUCCUGCCGGCGAGUGGCGAACGGGUGAGUAAUACAUCGGAAAGUGCCCUGUAGUGGGGGAUAACUAGUCGAAAGAUUAGCUAAUACCGCAUACGACCUGAGGGUGCAAGCGGGGGACCGCACGGCCUCAUGCGAUAGGAGCGGCCGAUGUCUGAUUAGCUAGUGGGUGGGGUAAAGGCCUACCAAGGCGACGAUCAGUAGCUGGUCUGGGAGGACGAUCAGCCACACUGGGACUGAGACACGGCCCAGACUCCUACGGGAGGCAGCAGUGGGGAAUUUUGGACAAUGGGCGAAAGCCUGAUCCAGCAAUGCCGCGUGUGUGAAGAAGGCCUUCGGGUUGUAAAGCACUUUUGUCCGGAAAGAAAUGGCUCUGGUUAAUACCUGGGGUCGAUGACGGUACCGGAAGAAUAAGGACCGGUUAACUACGUGCCAGCAGCCGCCGUAAGAC